rnacentral:rRNA from 1 species
AACGAACGCUGGCGGCAUGCCUAACACAUGCAAGUCGAACGAAGCCUUCGGGCUUAGUGGCGCACGGGUGCGUAACGCGUGGGAAUCUGCCCUUGGGUUCGGAAUAACAGUUAGAAAUGACUGCUAAUACCGAAUGAUGUCUUCGGACCAAAGAUUUAUCGCCCAAGGAUGAGCCCGCGUCGGAUUAGCUAGUUGGUGAGGUAAAGGCUCACCAAGGCGACGAUCCGUAGCUGGUCUGAGAGGAUGAUCAGCCACACUGGGACUGAGACACGGCCCAGACUCCUACGGAGGCAGCAGUGGGGGAAUAUUGGGACAAUGGCGAAAGCCUGAUCCAGCAAUGCCGCGUGAGUGAUGAAGGCCUUAGGUUGGUAAAGCUCUUUUACCCGGGAUGAUAAUGACAGU